CAUGAACGCUGGCGGCAGGCCUAACACAUGCAAGUCGAACGAGUGGCGGACGGGUGAGUCGUGUAUGAGCACCUGCCUGAUGGACGGGGAAAAAUACUGGAAACGGUAGAUACAACUGCAUACCAUCGUAUGUGCCCAUAUGGGAUUAGCUAGUAGGUGGGGAAACGGCUACACUAGGACACUAUCCCUAGCUGGUCUGAGAGGAUGCACAGCCACAGUGGAACUGAGACACGGCCCAGACUCCUACGGGAGGCAGCAGUGGGGAAUAUUGGACAAUGGGCGCAAUCCUGAUGCAGCCAUGCCGCGUGGAUGAAGAAGGCCUUCGGGUUGUAAAGUACUUUCAGCGAGGAGGCGUUACUCGCAGAAGAAGCACCGGCUAACUCCGUGCCAGCAGCCGCGGUAAUUC
rnacentral:rRNA from 1 species